UAUGUCUGUUAGCCGAGCUCUAUGUCUGUUAGCCGAGCUCUCUGUCUGCUAGCCGAGCUCUAAUAGAGCUCGGCUAGCAGACAUAGAGCUCGGCUAGCAGACAGUCUGU
rnacentral:pre_miRNA from 1 species